rnacentral:tRNA from 1 species
GCGGGUGUGGCGGAAUGGGUAGACGCACGGCACUCAAAAUGCCGCGGUUUUGGCUUUGUCGGUUCGAAUCCGACCACCCGUACCA